rnacentral:lncRNA from 1 species
CUCUCUUCACAUCAGAGAAAAAUAUCGGUAAAGUAUUUAUCUAGUGAGGAACUUGGCCAGCAAGGCGGUUAUAGACCAACUCUGUACUCUGAAUAAAGCUUUGCUUACGUAGCGGUUCAGUGCUUGGCUGCAAUAGACUGCGACCCCUCCACAACGGGCAGAGCCGUAAGCAACACUUGGCAGUUUGGCACCCUGCUGCGCUAUGAAAUGCGUAUGAGACUGCUAUCGCCCACCACCACGUGAGUUCCCGCAAACACUGAAAUGUCAUGCUAUGCUGCUUACUACUGCUAUAGCCCACAUCCAAUUGGUUGCAAUUUUUCUAACCUUUGAAUGACUCUGAUGUUCCAACAACCCCUCGUGAGCGACACUCACUCGCUCCGGGCAUUCCCUUACACCUCAUCCCAGCCUCUCAUUCUCUGGGUUACAGCCAGAGGAACUAGAACCGGCGACCUUUCGACAGCGCAAUGUGCCAUCGGGGGUCAUAAUUUAUUAAGACCAGCAAAGCGCCAGAUCCCGCCGUGUCCUAUUACGGCUGUUUCCAUCCUGUGGUAUAUGAAUGUCGGUCACUUUUCCAACAUCUCAUGUUCAUUUUUUGUGUUCAAUGCACAGUCAAAGUUAGCGUCCUGGCUCGUACCUCUCUGGGUGUCGGCCAUCUUCGCGUUCCAUCCGCCCAGUUCCGCGAACCAUCACCUGCUGGCUCCUGCCGCAGCUACCGCCGCUGCCAUCACUGCCGCCCUGGCCAUGGCCGCUGCCACUGCCGCUGCUGCCACCACUGGUGCUCUUCAUCCCCCAUGCCGCCACUCCAACACUUCCGGACGCCAUCCCAGGCGCCAGUGUACAGAACAAGUGAACCGUUUGGCGUUGAUGAGAUGCGCGGUUUGGACUCCUGGGCGAGCUGAGAUGCGAGUAUCGCCGAUGAUUUGCGGCACCUGAGCAAGCUUCUGUUCUGGCACAUGGUGCGUAAGUCAGUCAUGGUGUAGUACCGGUAGCUGGUAUCGGCGGGGGAGGUGGUGGUGAUGUGUGCGGAUUUAUAAUAUCCGCAGUAGUGGUGCUGCGUUUUUCCGUCCAGGUUGUUUCAUUUGCUCAAUUGGGCUGUCGUCCACAUCCAGCACCCGCCGAAGGACCUUCUAAACGGACAUUGCGCGGAGCUUGGUGUCAAUCUCAGCGCGCGCCAUCAUAUUCCCCAGGCGCUGUCUUAGCGCAGUAGAACGUCCUUAUGCUUGAACGAUCUCUUGCAAUGAGGCGAACAGCGCCGUUCUGUUCUGUCGGGCCGCAGACGCCAUCCGCUUGGGGGCCCAGUUAGGCUGCAAUUCAGGAAAUUUAUUCCUUAUCUUAUUGGAAAUUUGUUUUGGUCAUGCAAAACAAGUUUAGUGGCGCAAGCGAUCCUAUACAUGGGUACAGGAUGGACUAGUAGAACCUGUGGGAAAUAUAGAUUCUAAAAAUAGAGAUAAGCGAUAAUGCUGGAUGUGAUCCCCAUAUUGCGAACAUUGCCCGUGCUUGAGUGAUGUUCCGAUGUGCUUCGGAUCACACUUCUUGCGGCUUCGUUUCGGAAGCACGGCCAUGCAAAAAACACUCAUAUGAAAAUAUUUUUAUGCAGGUGAAGUACCUGUAAAACUGCAUCUAAAUCAUGUAUGGCGCUAGGGCGUCCGUUAGGAGGACUGGAGGACAGAGGUUCCUCCAGUUGCCGAUGACACUAGCUGGACACGCACCGAAAAGCAACAUUUGCUUUGUUACCAAAUACACCAGGUUUAUCUUUUUUACUUUUCUCUUCCAAACUGUCAGAGUACUUCGUCAAAUACAUUCGAUACGAACGGUUGCCAAACUUUUCAGCAGACCCUUUCCUUUACGCAUGAUUCCAAAGCUCUGGUAGCUGAUGAGUGCUGGUAACUGUUGCGGUGCAAUGACACUUCCGUUAGAUAUUCACCGUUCCAGGGUCUGAUCCAACAUGUGACGCACUUCUGUGGCCAACGAGCCUGCCAUUCACACUAGUAUCCGCCAUCUCACACCCUUUCGUAACUCUCCCAGUUAAGCCGCCGAGCUCCACGCACCUUGCACAAAAUUAAUCUUUUUACAGCGGAGUUAAAAACUUGUUGUCAGCACAAUCGUAGCUUGUUUCACAUCAUUUCCUGUGCUGGAUUAUAACCUUCAAAUGACGUAGCAUAUAGUAUAGCGCUAUCAUGUGCAAUGCAUGAAUCCAUAACGGGUGAAAGCUGGCAUAAGGAGUGCCUGCCCUCUCUCAG